rnacentral:rRNA from 1 species
GCAAAUCCGUCCCCACACAAGUGUGAGAGCUGAUGGGCGCCCCACAGUGGUGGGGUGAUCUGGUGAUCCUCUGCUGCCGAGAAAAGCAUCGACGUGAGGGUGUGUGUUGCCCGUACCCUAUAACCGACACAGGUGGUCAGGUAGAGAAUACUAAGGUGAUCGAGAGAAUCGUGGUUAAGGAACUCGGCAAAAUGCCCCCGUAACUUCGGGAGAAGGGGGGCCAUCCUGGUGAACAGCCCUU